rnacentral:rRNA from 1 species
AUUGCCUCAGUAACGGCGAGUGAAGCGGCAACAGCUCAAAUUUGAAAUCUGGCCCUAGGCCCGAGUUGUAAUUUGCAGAGGAUGCUUUUGGCGAGGUGCCUUCCGAGUUCCCUGGAACGGGACGCCAUAGAGGGUGAGAGCCCCGUCUGGUCGGACACCGAGCCUCUGUAAAGCUCCUUCGACGAGUCGAGUAGUUUGGGAAUGCUGCUCUAAAUGGGAGGUAUAUGUCUUCUAAAGCUAAAUACCGGCCAGAGACCGAUAGCGCACAAGUAGAGUGAUCGAAAGAUGAAAAGCACUUUGAAAAGAGAGUUAAAUAGCACGUGAAAUUGUUGAAAGGGAAGCGUUUAUGACCAGACUUGGCCCGGUUGAUCAUCCAGCGUUCUCGCUGGUGCACUCUGCCGGUCCAGGCCAGCAUCAGUUCGUCGCGGGGGAUAAAGGUUUCGGGAAUGUGGCUCCUCCGGGAGUGUUAUAGCCCGUUGCGUAAUACCCUGUGGUGGACUGAGGUCCGCGCUUCUGCAAGGAUGCUGGCGUAAUGGUCAUCAACGACCCGUCUUGAAACACGGACCAAGGAGUCGUCUUCGUAUGCGAGUGUUCGGGUGUAAAACCCCUACGCGUAAUGAAAGUGAACGCAGGUGAGAGCUUCGGCGCAUCAUCGACCGAUCCUGAUGUUCUCGGAUGGAUUUGAGUAAGAGCAUACGGGGCCGGACCCGAAAGAAGGUGAACUAUGCCUGUAUAGGGUGAAGCCAGAGGAAACUCUGGUGGAGGCUCGCAGCGGUUCUGACGUGCAAAUCGAUCGUCAAAUAUGGGCAUGGGGGCGAAAGACUAAU